rnacentral:rRNA from 1 species
UACAGAGGUCUCAAGCGUUGUUCGGAUUCAUUGGGCGUAAAGGGCGCGUAGGCGGCGCGUUAAGUCGGGGGUGAAAUCUUGGAGCUUAACUCCGAAACUGCACUCGAUACUGCUUUGCUCGAGGACUGGAGAGGAGAUUGGAAUUCACGGUGUAGCAGUGAAAUGCGUAGAUAUCGUGAGGAAGACCAGUGGCGAAGGCGGAUCUCUGGACAGUUCCUGACGCUGAGGCGCGAAGGCCAGGGGAGCAAACGGG